CAACAAGAGAGAAGACCUACCCCUGGGGAAAGUUAAAAACAGUGUAACACAGGAGUUUCCUGGUGGUCACAGCUGUGGCUUGGGUUCGAUCACUGGCCUGCAACUUCCUCAUGCCGAGGGCGCAACCAAAACCAAACAUAAAAACACCAGUGUAACACAAGAGCUACCCUGGCGCAAGCAGGCCAGUGUAAACAGCAAAUUCUCCAGCAAGAGAGAGAUUACGUGUUAACAGCCCCUCAUGGCAACGGCCUAAGCACAGGCCUGCUGCACCUGCUGCACCUGCCUGACCCCUGCCGCCCGGCACCACGCCCGGCUUCCCAGGCCCUUCCACCACUCGGUGAAUGCAGACUCAACACUGGGGCCAGGGGUGGCCCAAGACACCACCACUCUGAAUAUUCUUAGUAGUUGUGGGUUUUAUCUUGGGCCAGUUUUGCACUCUGCUUCAUGAUAUGUCUGGAGUAGCUGCUGUAACGUGUAAACAGCUGAACUUACUUAUCAAGUAAAAUGAACCCCAGGAAGACGUGCUGUGGCCUGUGGCUGGCUUCAGACACCGCAACACGCCCACUACCCCCUGCCCAGGCUGAGCAGCCCUGCAGAAAGUGGCAAACAGGGGUGUACUGGGAGGAAAUGGGAGCUCAGUGGCCCUUGAAGGGUGACUAAGAGUCAGCAGGCAGAGAAGAACAUUCUAGACUGAGGGACUGGGCUGAGCAAAGAUGGUGAGGAGGGGUGGGUAUGCGCCAGGGAGGCUGUGCAGACACCCCCCUCACCCUAGGAAAAUCAGCACAACCCAAAGCUAGCAUUUCAGUGUUUGCUGGGUACCAGCCCUGUCCUGAGUGCAAUCCUAGGCCUGAGGAUAAACGUUUGAUAAAGCAGUUUAAAGAGGAAAUUCGGGAGUUCCCAUCGUCACGCAACGGAAACGAAUCCAACUAGGAACCGUAGGGUUGCGGGUUCAACCCCUGGCCUUGCUCAGUGGGUUAAGGAUCCCACGUGGCCGUGAGCUGUGGUGUUGGUCACAGACACAGCUCAGAUCUGGAGUUGCUGUGGCUGUGGUGUAGGCCGGCAGCUAUAGCUCCGAUUAGACCCCUAGCCUGGGAACCUCCACAUGCUGUGGAUUCAGCCCUAAAAAGCAAAAAAAAUAAAAAUUUUUAAAAAGAGGAAAUUCAGGCACCGAGAGGUUAAGUACUUGCCCAGGAAGACACAGCGUGUGAAUGUCGGGAAUGGGGUUUGAUCCCAGAGCCUUGCUCCUGUGCCUGCACUCACAUCGCCUGGAGUAACACUAGCGAGGUCAGUGGGCAAACACAGGUUCUUUUUUUUUUUCUUUUUUGGCCACCCUGCGGCAUAUGGAGCUCCCAGGCCAGGGAUCCGAUCCCAGCCACAGCUGCAACCAAAGCCGCAGCUGCAGCAACGCUGGAUCUUUAACCCACCAUGCCAGGCCGGGGAUUGAACCUACGUCCCAGCACUCCCAAUCCACCGCUGAUCCUGUUGCGCCACAGCAGGAACUCCCAAACACAGGUUCUUGAACCUGAGGCGAAGGAGCUUGGACCCAUCUAUGGAGAUGAGAGAGCCUGAACGUUUUUGGAGAGGGACAGGACAAAAACAAUUAUUCUGGAGAAUCUGUCUGACCAGGUUUGAAAGACCAAAUGAGGAAGAAAGUGCAGGCAGGAAGCCAUGAACUAUUCAAAACAUGGGUGCUGAGGCUCCAGAUUAGCAGACAAUGCAAAGGACAAGAAGCUAUAAGAGAGGCUGCAAAGGAACUUGGGCGAGACUUGCAUUUGGGAAGGAUGGGCAGCAACCAUCAAAUGCGACUCAGGUUCUGAGCUUGGAUGAGUGAGGGGAUGGUGGCGACGUGAGCAGAAAAGAUGGCAACUAGGAGGGGAAGACAGGCUCGAUUUCCUGCAUGUUCAGUUUGAAACGGUGACAAUGACAGGACCUCCAGUGGAAACAGCUAGCAGGCUACGGAAGCCUAGAGCAAGGGCAGAGGAGAGGGUGGACUCCAGGGGACAGAGGGGAGUCACCUGCCUGGAAGUGACACCCGUACGAGCUUGGAUGAGUUCUCUGAGAGAGGAGAGCCAGGGAGAGGAGGGCAAAGGCAGGACCAAAGAGGGAGCCUGGAAAACUCUCUCUAGGGAAGGUGGGAGACCAGCCAAGAAGAGGGGGAGUGGCAGAGUGGCAGGAGAGUCGCCAGAGAGUGGUGCCCGGGGGGUUCCCGAGAGCUUCUCGAGUGGCAGUGGCUGGUGGGAUGUGCUGAGAUGUCAAGGAAGACCUCUCAAGGUGGAAGCAGGAGGGUACGGGGUGGCGCACCCUGACUCGGUCCCCACAUUCCCUGCUUCCCUCUGUCCUUGUGUAGUUCUCCCUGGCACCCCCAGCUGCCACAGUAACCACCAUGCCACACCCAUCAGCGAGGGGCACGUGGACUCAUUCUCUGUUAACCCAGGCAUGGCCAUCAUUAUCCACCCUCAGACUCCGACUAACUCGCUAGUAGUGUGAGGGCUUGAGGAGUGAAUUCAGCAAGAAAUUCAAGCAAACAGGAAAAGGAAGACGUUUCUGAAUUAAUCUAGAAGUAGAUGGGGAGUUUCCUGGUGGCCUAGCGGGUAAGGAUCCGGCACUGUCACUGCAGCGUGAGGGCUCCAUCUCCGGCCCGGGAAUUUCCGCAUAUCAAGGAUGUGGCCAAAAAAAAGUAAACGGAACGCAGAGGGGGGCCAGUUGGAAGCACAUCUGGGUCAACACCGCCUCGAGCACCCAACAGGACUACUAGUUUUCUCUGCAGGUAAGUCUCCAGUUCAUCCACCUGCGUCCUAAACUGGAAAAGAGCAGCUUCGUGCGACUCAGGCCGAAGCAAAUCAGAAGCCCUAGUCCCUAAGUUUCAGGAGCUCACUGUCGCGGGAGAGGGCGAGGACGCCAAACGCAGCCCCAGGACGGGUGUGACUUCAUUCCCUGAGAACUCAGACUUCCUGAAAAUGGCCCUUCAGCUCAGCAUUUGAGGAGGAGGAGGGGAGGAGUUCCCAUGUCACAGCGGAAACAAAUCCGACUAGGAACCAGGAGGUUGCGGGUUUGAUCUCUGGCCUCGCUCAGCGGGUUAAGGAUCCAUUGUUGCUGUGAACUGUGGUGUCGCAGAUGUGGCUCAGAUCCUGCGUGGCGUGGCUGUGGUGGAGGCCAGCAGCUGUAGCGCUGACUGGACCCCAGCCUGGGAAUCUCCAUAUUCUGCGAAUGCAGCCCUAAAAAGCAAAACAAACAAACAAACAACUUCACUCACACCUACUGUUUGAUCUGUUGGUCGUGCCCAACCUGAGAAUCGCGUAUGUACCAGCUGUGAAGGCCAGUGAAACCUGGACCCCAUCUAAGUCACUUCUGGGGGCUGUGUGGCCUUGAUGGAGGGGCCAGCUUUUCCUGGAGCCAUCUCAUCAAAGCCGUCAGAUUCAGAAGCAGGAUCCUGUUCAGUGCCUGUUUCGAAGCCUGUGCCCCCGCUGGGCCAGGCUGCUGGGUCUUCCUCUGAGGUCCUUUCAUGGGACAGUGGAGACAGUCGUCAUUUCUCGAGGGUAGAGGAGCCUCCAGCCAGCUUCUCCACGUGCUCUCAAGGGCACGUCUGCCUUGGGUUCUACACCACUCCCCGCCAUGCUGGGGGGGAACCGCUGUGGCCAAAAGCCAGGUUAUCAAAACUACAAGUGCACAUACCCCUUUCAGUCCAUAUCUAGAAAUUUAUCCUACAGAUACUCGCUCUUUUUUUUUCUUUUUGGCUGCUCCCAUAGUAUAUGGAAGUUCCUGGGCUACAGAUGGAACCUGUGCCAUAGCAGUGAUGCAAGCUGCUGCAGUGACAACACCAGAUCCUUAACCUACUGUGCUGUAAGAGAACUCCCUUCAGGAGUUCCCAUCUGGCUCAGUGGUUAAUGAAUCCGACUAGGAACCACGAGGUUGCGGGUUCGAUCCCUGGCCUUGCUCCGCGGGUGAAGGAUCUGGUGUUGCCGUGAGCUGUGGUGUAGGUCACAGACACAGCUCGGAUCCCGAGUUGCUGUGGCUCUGGUGUAGGCCGGAGGUAACAGCUCCGAUUCGACCCCCAGCCUGGGAACCUCCAUAUGCCGUGGGUGCAGCCCUAAAAAGAAAAAAAAAAAACAAACAAAGAAUUCCACCAAGGUAAAGGGGUUACUGCGUUCGUCAAAGGGUUACUGCAUCGUGCACUGCCCGGGCUGUGUGCGCGUCUCUGGGCUCAUGGCACUGUACCCUUUACUAUAGUGCCCUGAGACAGAGGGUCUUCUUCCUGGCCUGGCGGUGGGGUCCUGGCGGUGGGAAGGGCCAGGACUCAGCCCCUCUCAAAGGCCCGUCUCCUCUGUGACUAGACACUGCCAGGCACCUGGCACCGCCCCACACGGGGACAAGGGUCAGUCUGUCACAAGAGUGCAAACAUGACGAGUUCAGGAUCAGUCCAAUCAGUUCCUUCCUUCCUUCAUUCAGCGAAGGCAAAUGGGGCAUCUGCGAGUGCGAGCAGUACGCAGAAUAUAUAGCUUGGGUCCCAACCCUUAAAGCGUUUUCCAUCCAUCCUUAAAUAUGUGAAAAGAAGCCCAACUUCACUCCAAGUAAGACGGGCAAAAGCUAAAACUUUGGAGGGCAUACUCUGUUGACAAGGCUUGGGGGGAACACACAGGGGCACAGGCUGGCGCAGCCUCUAUGGAGGGGAACUUGGUGAUGCUGAGCCACAACAGGAAAUCCCGGUGUGGCUGUUUUUAAAAAUGAAGAUUUCCAUUAGCUCAUACGGAGUGAUUACCAGGAGAAAUUGUUAAAUGUGGGGUAUACUAUCUUUGUGUAAGAAAAGGGGGAAUAAGAUACAUAUCUGAAGAAAGAAACAUAGGAAGAUUAAACUAGGAACAAAUAAAAUGGUUACUAUUGGGCGUAGGUAAGAAUGGGGUGGGUGGGAGCUCCCACUGCGGCUCAGUGGUUAAUGAACCUGACUCAUAUCCAUGAGAAUGUAGAUUUGAUCCCUGGCCUUGCUCAGUGGGUUAAGGAUCCAGCAUUGCUGUGGCUGUGGGGUAGGCUGGCGGCUGUAGCUCCAAUUUGACUCCUAGCCUGGGAACUUCCAUAUGCUGCAGGUAUGGCCCUAAAAAGAAAAAAAAAAGUCAAGUAAAUUUUGCACACAGUUCAUGGACUUUCUAAGAACAAAAGAACCACAGAAACAAUCUUGACCUUUAUUUACUUCAUAGGUUUGUUGUUCAUAAAGGUAUUGGUGUACCCAUUCUAAAACUCUUCCGCUGUUUUUAAGAAUAGGAAAAAAUGAAUAAACAUUCAGAUGUUGGGAACCAGAGACUGUGCUCUGAAAAAAGUGAAAUAAAGUAAGGGAUGGGGAAGGUGAGGAAGAAUCCUCAAAGGUUGGAUUUGAACGGGAGGUAGCAGCAUGUUGAUUUUUUCCCCCUUUUUUUCUGGCCGCACCCCCAGUAUAUGGAGGCUUCCGGGCCAGGGAUCAAAUCUGAGCCGCAUCUGCAACCUACUUAUGCCACAGCUGUGCUGGGUGGGGGAUCAAACCAGCAACACCAGUGACAGGCUGGAUCAUUAACCCACUGCACCACAGUUAGAACUCCAGUACGCUGAUUUUUGUUAAAAAGGUAAUUUAUUUAUUUAUUUAUUUUGUCUUUUUAGGGUUGCACUUGCGGCAUAUGGAGGUUCCCAGGCUAGGGGUCUAAUCGGAGCUCCAGCUGCCGGCCUGCGCCAGAGGCCACAGCCACAGCAGUGAGGGAUCUGAGCCUGGUCUGCGACCUACACCACAGCUCACGGCAACGCCAGAUCCUUAACCCAAUGAGCGAGGCUAAGGAUCAAAUCCACAACCUCAUGGUUCCUAGUCGGAUUGUUCCCGAUGUGCCACGACGGGAACUUCAAAAUUAACUUUAUUGACGUAUAAUUUAUCUACAACAAAAUUACAGAUUUUAAACAUAUGGUUUUGACAAAUGUAUACACCAGGGUAACUACCAACCCCGCUAAGGUCUAGAACAUUCCCAUCAGCCCAGAAGUGUCCCUCACUCUCCUUUGCACCCAGUCUCUCCCCGCUCUCCCAUCCCAUCCUAAGCAGUUUGAUUUCUAUCAUCAGAGAUUUGUUUCGCCUGUUCCGGAACUAAUAUACAUGCCCCCCUUCAGCACCUGUGGCUUAUCUCACUCAACACAGUGUCUGCACACAUGGCAUUGUGUGUACUUGUGCACACCCGUGUUGUGUAUCAGCACGGCGCACCUCUCCGUUGCUGAGGUGUGUGGCUCCAUUGUGUGACUGCACUAACACGUAGCUAUCCACUUAUCAGGUGAGGAACAUCUGGGUUAUGUCUAGUUUGGGGCUCUAUCAAAUCAAGCUGUCAUGAAUAUUUAGGUGCGAGUCUUUGUGCAGGCAAAAGAAUUUACCCACUUCACUUGGGUAAAUGCAAGGGAGUCAGGUUGCUGGAGGUAUAACAGAUAUACACUUAAUUUUAUCAGGAGUUCCCAUCGUGGCGAAGUGGUUAACGAAUCCGACUAGGAACCAUGAGGUUUCGGGUUCGGUCCCUGCCCUUGCUCAGUGGGUUAAAGAUCCGGCGUUGCCGUGAGCUGUGAUGUAGGUUGCAGACGCGGCUCGGAUCCCGCGUUGCUGUGGCUCUGGCGUAGGCCGGUGGCUACAGCUCCGAUUGGACCCCUAGCCUGGGAACCUCCAUAUGCCGCUGGAGUGGCCCAAAGAAAUAGC
rnacentral:lncRNA from 1 species